rnacentral:rRNA from 1 species
GAUGAACGCUGGCGGCGUGCCUAAUACAUGCAAGUCGAGCGAACGGACGCGAAGCUUGCUUCUCUGAUGUUAGCGGCGGACGGGUGAGUAACACGUGGAUAACCUACCUAUAAGACUGGUAUAACUUCGGGAAACCGUAGCUUAUUCCGGAUAAUAUUUUUCACCGCAUGGUUCAAAAGUGAAAGAUGGUCUUGCUGUCACUUAUAGAUGCAUCCGCGCUGUAUUAGCUAGUUGGUAAGGUAACGGCUUACCAAGGGAACGAUGCGUAGCCGAACUGAGGGGGUGAUAGGCGACAUGGGAGCGGGAACAGGGUCAAGACUCCUAAGGGAGGGAGCAGUAGGGAAUCUUCCGCAAUGGGCGAGAGCAUGACGGAGCAAGGCGGAGUGAGUGAUGAAGGUGUUGGGAUAGGAAAAAUCGGUUAUGAGGGAAGAACAUAUGUGAAAGGAAAUGUGCAGAAAGUGACGGUACCUGAUCAGAAAGCCACGGCUAACUACGUG